AUAACACCACCAGCAAACCCAGACCAACGACCCAUGACCCGGCCCACCUUAUAACUCCCUUCUCUAAUCCGAUUCAACACCCAACAUCAGUCAUCAGCAGCAGUGGUGCACCGAUCAAACAACAACACAGCAACUUGAGCCAAAACAACAACAAAUAUCAACAACAACACAGCAACUUCAUCUCUGUGUGUUGUGUAAUUAUCGGAAGAGUUCGUGGGUGCUGGCAAAUUUUCUGCCAGAGAAAUAGACACCAGUGUUCAACAUGGGAACUCAGCUUCAGCCAAGAGUAAUAGGCAUUCCCAGAAAUCAAGCUUCUUUUACAGGUCUGUUGGAUGUAAAAGUAUACUCUAAAAAUAGAGCACGACUGAGGACUUCCACCAGUAACAGAUUUAUCUGCACCUUAAAUCAGUCAGCACAGGUCUUGGCUCAAGCAGAGCAAACAGAAAGUAGGACUUUAGUCAAAAUGUGUGGAAUUACAUCAGCUAGAGAUGCUGCUCUUGCAGCAGAAGCUGGAGCCAAUUUUAUCGGUAUGAUUAUAUGGCCUAACUCAAAACGUUCUGUUUCACUUUCUACUGCAAAGGAAAUCUCGAAGGUUGCGCGGGAAUAUGGAGCUCUGCCAGUUGGGGUGUUUGUCGAUGACAAUGCUGACACAAUUCUAAGGGCCUCUGAUGCAGCAGACCUUGAAUUUGUGCAGCUUCAUGGAAAUGGUUCACGAGAUGCUUUUCCAGUUUUAGUUGGGGAGAAACGUUUAGUAUAUGUACUUCAUGCAAAUGAAGACGGACGCCUUUUGAACGCUGUUUCAGUUGAGGAGUCUUCUCUGAUUGAUUGGAUUCUAGUGGAUAGUGCCAAAGGUGGCAGCCUGAAGACCCUUUGUUCCACCCUUCAGAAAAAAUCACUGAAUUCCUUACUUCCAAAUCUAAUGCUACAUUUAGCGCUGAUGAUACUGUUGUGAGGACUUUCUUGGUGCUAAUCAGACAGCAUUUUCGACCUUCAUUAACCUCAAUGAUGUUGAUGUUCUGGAAACUGCUGAUGGUGGAAGUGUCACUGAGAAUAAUUUGGAUAUUGGUUGCGCUGAUCCGGACGUAUUUCAUUUGUUGAUGAGGGCUGCCAUUGAGAAGUUCAAGGACAUACAUUUUUACCCAUUUGGGAAGCUGGUCAGGGGGUUGAAUGAUAGUUCCUGCCACAUGGCAUGGCGGUUUAGGCUUAAGGAAGGGAAGACUGCUGCCUUUUAUAAGGAUUACCGGUCGUUUGUAGUUUCUAGGUCGGAGAAAUGCACCCUUGAUGUGGUCAGUAUAGGUGAUUAUCAUUCUGGUGGAAAUGCUCGCAAGAGGAAGAGAAAGAACGAGGCAGGGUUUGAUGGAACUCCUGGUAAGCUAGAUGGCGGGUUUGAGAAGGCAACUCCUAAGACAGAGGGUGAACCUAUUGCUCUGCCUGUGUUUGGGGAAGCUGUAAAUGACUCCCUUGCUGUGGUGUAGUCAGAGAGUUCAUUUGGUAAUGGAGAGUAUUUGAUUUAUUCUGGAGGUGGGGAUAGGUGCAAGAGCAUGAGCCAUUACCUUUGGAGCUUCAUGUGUGCGUUGGGAGAGGCUCAAAAUAUUUGAAUAGGACAUUGGUAAUGGACUUAAGUAUUUGUUUAUCCAAGAUUUACACUUCAUCUGGUGUAGAUAAGGAAGGAAAGGAUUUAAGGUUUUACUUUGAUUUUGAGCACUUAAAGGAUUCAGCCUCAAUCCUCGAUCAGGUCCAGUUUGGGUCAGAUUGGAAGAAAUGGCAUAAAAAAGACAGAUUAAGUCAUCAUCUUGUGGAGGAUUUUAGGAUUACACCGAUGAAGUUAUCUGGAGUGCAGGAUACUUUAAUCAAGAGGAAAUUUGGUUCUGUAGAGCCAGAUAAUUGCUGGUACAGGGUAUGCGAGGGUGAGACAGAAUCUGUCGUUCAAAGACCAUGGCAUCUGGUAUGUAAAUCAAGAUGAUUGAUGGACAUUGUUUCAGCUAUUUCGUCGAGGUUGAAUGGGAUUAUGACCCACUUAUUGUAAGGGGGGAGACGGCAAGGAAUCGUUAAAUGUGGCCACAUUUGGCAGAAGAUACUUCUCCCGAGGCUCUACGGUCUAGCUUGCGGGACAAGAUCGAUGACGGGAGGAACCUGUAUAUUGCAACCAAUGAACCAGAUACAUCUUUUUUUUGACCCUUUAAAAGACAAGUAUUCCACCCAUUUCCUUCAUGAAUAUAAAGAUCUUUGGGAUGAAAACAGUGAGUGGUAUGCAGAGACAGCCAAACUUGAUAACAGGAAUCCAGCUGAAUUUGAUGGGUACAUGAGGGCUUCAGUUAACACGGAAGUUUUCUUUAGGGGUAAAAAGCAGGUUGAGACAUUUAAUGAUCUCACCAAAGACUGCAAGGAUGGGAUCAAUACAUGCACUUCGUCCAGCUAAUUUCUUACUGGCGUUUGAAGCUUUACUCCUGCAGUUUUUGGAUAAAUCUAUACCAUACUGUUGUUUUAGUGGCAAAGGGUUCAACUGGGCUCAGUUUAAGCUACCAUCAAUUAGAAGCAAACUCGGGUGGCUCUUGGCUGGAGGAAUUAAGCCGGAGAAUGUUUGUGAAGCUAUUUCUGCUCUUAAACCCGAUGGAGUGGAUGUGAGUAGUGGCAUAUGUGGACGGGACGGCAUCCAAAAGGAUGAGUCCCGGAUACUAUCAUUUAUGAAUGAAGUGAAAUCGUGUCGGCUUUAGUUAAAAAUCUAAUAGAGGCAAAUUCCUUAGUGCAGAUUGUUAAUCCAACUGCAAUGCUGGUUCCAGUCCUCUUGUAAUUGUUCUGCUGAUUAGAUGUUAGAGAAAAAAUAUCUACUUAUUUCUUUGUAUGAGUGAAAUGCACUCAAUUGUUACAAUGUACUUUUAUUGUAGGAAAAUUUCAUUUGUUCUGUGACUGGCAACAAUUGAGAAUCUCCAAUGGAGAGCAUGUAAGCUAUUACUUAUAUAUUUCAAAAUUUAAUUGACUAAAUUCUUUAGGUCAAACA